rnacentral:rRNA from 1 species
GACGAACGCUGGCGGCGUGCCUAAUACAUGCAAGUAGAACGCUGAAGGAGGAGCUUGCUUCUCUGGAUGAGUUGCGAACGGGUGAGUAACGUGUAGGUAACCUGCCUGGUAGCGGGGGAUAACUAUUGGAAACGAUAGCUAAUACCGCAUAACAGUAGAUGUUGCAUGACAUUUGCUUAAAAGGUGCAAUUGCAUCACUACCAGAUGGACCUGCGUUGUAUUAGCUAGUUGGUGGGGUAACGGCUCACCAAGGCGACGAUACAUAGCCGACCUGAGAGGGUGAUCGGCCACACUGGGACUGAGACACGGCCCAGACUCCUACGGGAGGCAGCAGUAGGGAAUCUUCGGCAAUGGACGAAAGUCUGACCGAGCAACGCCGCGUGAGUGAAGAAGGUUUUCGGAUCGUAAAGCUCUGUUGUAAGAGAAGAACGAGUGUGAGAGUGGAAAGUUCACACUGUGACG